AUCAUGUUAUGUAUAAUCAGCUUGUGCCUCUGUGCUUUCAUCAACCAUGUUUUAGAAGGGAAAUAUUAACAUACAUAGAUAUUAAGCGAUCUGUGAGAAUGGCCUUGCCUACCAGCUAAUACAUAUGAUUAUAUUGUAAAUUUAUAGGCACUAUAUUGUGCGUAUGAAAGCUAGCAGAAAUCACUGUCAGAUUUGGUCAGAGGCAAUCAAAUAUUUUUCGGUGGCGACUAUAGAUAGACAAACGGAAUUCGGGCCGAAACUCAUCAACCUUGUACAACAGUAAAAAACGAUGCUCGAUAGUUUAAUCUACGCGCGUCGACGACUACAGAAGGCACUUGUCGAACGAACUAGGAACAAAGACGCCGAUACCUGUAGUGAUUCAACAUAGCUGACCUUUUACACAGCGACCUAACAAAUCUAAGGUUGCGGAGAAAAAAACAGAUGUCGUCGAUGUCACUCACUGGGUUACUGGCCCAGCUUUCCUGCUAUAGCGGACGGAACUUGUGUCCUCCUUGUCAGGUCUCAAUCGGUAAUUAUCAACCGGAUGUCUAAUCGAACAAGUAAGCGAAUGCCGGAUACUGUUUUCUCCUGUAGGACACUGGCAGCGCUAUAGGACGAGCCGAUACGAAUUACGCGAUACGUCGAUUACGCGUCAGGCAGAAAUAUUAGCAGGAGGACAGAUGAUUCGGUUGUUCGAAAUGCGGAAAAAAUUCGAAGGGUUAUCGACGCUGUGCACUCACCUGCCCAUUCACUCCGAUGUGCGGCCACUCCCCUGCGACUACUGCGGAAAACGAUUUCAUCAAAGGUCCUAUAUGAAGAAACAUAUCUACAUACAGGUCUUCUUCAUUUAUAGCAUUAUAAUUUAUGUAGUCAGCUGUCGGUUAUAAUUAACUGAAUAAAAAAGGAUUACUGAAUUUUAGAGGCACGUUCAGUGCAUCAUGUCAGCUUCUCUGAACGAUUCCCAGCCUGUUUUUCGUUCGUAAACUUUGUUUGUUAUCAGUGCUAGUGCCGAACUCCACAAAGUGCGAAAAGUUAACGGUAGAUAUUGGAUAUACAGCAAAUAUAAAACUUAAAUGUCGCUCUUUUUUUCUGCUAAUAUGUUAUAAGAUAAGGAAUAUUUAACGAAUCGAAAGAUUCGAAGACGCGAUCUAAUCAUACGCAUCAGCUACUGCCGAUGCAGACCAAUGUUUGUAAGACGCUCUCGACCUUUGCUUAGUCCCAGGCUGAAUCAGUGCAGCCUCCGCAAAGCUCAAGGGCCAUUCUGACCCUAACGGGUUGAACGACGUACGAUGCUUAACUCAAGCAGGUAAUAGACUACGUGAAACAGGGUACGCGUAUCGGAUAUACAUAUGUCAAUCCUUGUGUAAAUCCAAACGACGUGUUAUGCAUUCAUAGUAGUGCGUGUUAGAGGAGAAACAGUGGUGCACUCUAUCGCAUUUCAUCAGGCCAAUAGUACUUCAUUGAAGUAAUAAUCACAAAUCAUUAACGAUUAAGGCGACUGUAUAUAACAUUUAAGUCGCAUUACGGCUCGUGUAAUAGCUUUCAUUUUUAUACAAUGAAGAUCACUCCUUAUAACAAUAUUGAUAGAAUGACAGGACGGAUAAGUAAAUGGUGAUAAAAUUGGUGAAAAAAUGGUGAAAGAAAAAUUAGCUG